rnacentral:lncRNA from 1 species
AGGGGCAGGAGCCAACAUUCUUGUCAGCUUUGCAAAAUUUUGUUACAAUAUUUAUUUUACUGAAGGUGACUUCUUGCUUCUUUAACUAAGAGAUUUAAUUCCAUGGAAAACCCCUCAGACAGUUAUGGAUCUUAGUAGAAUCCACAGGAAAAGUCUGCUCUUUUUUCUUUGUAAAUCAAUGCAAAGAGAAGAAAAUGAGACCUAGAUUUGGAUAUUAACCAUUCUUAAAAGUCUAAUCACUUAAUUUUUGUUUCUGCUUGAGAAAAGCUCUUUCCUGAAAACAAAAGCCAGACAACUGAUUAACUGAAAAAUAGGCCUAUGUUAUUGAUAAAGCCUCAGAGGUGAAGUAAUAUAUGUUAUCCUAAAUUUCUCUUACCUUGCAUCUUCCUGGAUGCUGGAAGAUGUGCACAUUUUGGAAUGCCUCAGACCAAGGCAUCACAUGUCUGUGUCCUGGAUUGCUCCUUCCACACUUCAAAGUAGAUAGCUGAGCCAUCUUCCCAGAGCUGCUGCACAGAGCCUGGUGCAGUGGGAUGGUGGAGCUCGCCUGGAGCAGCAGCUGGAAGUGGAGCAGAACUGCACAUGAAAUGGAACAGGCCACACACACAUCCUGGGCACAGUUGUCCUGCCUUUACCAGAUGGGAUUCAUUUUAAUACUCUUAACUAGCAGAUUUCAAGGAGAAGGAUCUCCAAAUUUACACCCAGACAGAAAGGACUGAGAUGUUGUCCGACUACUACUCUGCCUAUUCCUCCUCUGAAACCACAGUGAAUGGAGGCUGUUGGGAGUGAGUAAAGAGCACAUUCUGAAAACAAGAACUGUUGAAGGUUGACAAACUACAGGCUGUGAACUCACCCUGCUGCAGAACUGCCCACAGCUUCACAAAACAGCCUGUGGGAUCCAGGUAUGUGUGGAAAUAAGUGCAAUAAGGAAAGAACAUAUCAAGUGGCACAAAAUUGUAAAAGAGCAGACUUUCCUGUUCUGGCAAGGAGACAAGGGAG